rnacentral:lncRNA from 13 species
UCCCGGAGUUUUUGGGGCAGGGACCAUCCCCUGUUCCGUGCCUCACAACCCUCUGGGGGAUGAAUUUUCGGGAUCUCCAUCCCAAAUCCCUCCUGGAACAGCUCCAGCCAUUCCUGGAUCCUGAGCCCCUUGGAAUUCCCAGGAUUUCCCCUCACUCUCCUCUCCUCCGAAAUUUCCUUUUGGGGAAAUCCCUCCUGACCCUUCACCCUCUGCUGAUGUCCCCAAACUCUGUCCCACGUCCCCUGAGGGGACACGGGGCUCCAUGUUCCCAUUCCUGAUCCCUGAUUUCGGGGGAGAACGGACAAAUCCCAUUCCCAGCUCUCGGCUUCCAAGAAGAGGAGCCGGGCAAUGGCAGCGUCACCCCGGCCGAGGAGCCCCCGGGGCCACCGGGACACCCCACCACAGCCACCGGGCACGCGGGGACAACGGUGACGACGUGGCCGAGGGCCACCACCAGCCCUCCUUGGAGCGGGGACCUCGCGGUGACACCGGCAGGGAACCAAACCCGGGAUGUUCCACCACCCUUGGGGGCCUGUCACCCUCAUGGGGGAUGUGUCACCAUCCCAAGGAGGUGACACCAUCCUGGAGGGCCUGCCACCACUCUGGGGGAUUUGUCAGCACCCUGGGGGACCCGUCACCCUCACAGGGGAUUUGUCACCCUCCUGGGGAUGUGUCACCCUCCUGGGGGACCUGCCGGGGAGGUGCCACCACUCUGGGGGAUUUGUCACCAUCCCAAGGAGGUGGCACCAUCCUGGGGCACUUGCCACCACCCUUGGGGACCUGUCACCCUCCCGGGGUGACAUGCCACCACUCUGGGGGACAUGUCACCCUCUCAGGGAUGUGCCACCACUCUGGGGGAUUUGUCACCAUCCCAAGGAGGUGCCACCAUUCUUGGGGAUCUGCCACCAUCCCUAGGGGACUUGUCACCACUCUGGGGGACCUGUCACCCUCCCGGAAGAUGUGCCACCACUCUGGGGGAUUUGUCACCCUCUCAGAAGAUCUGCCACCCUCCUGGGGGACCUGUCACCCUCCUGGGGGAUGUUCCACCACCCUUGGGGACCUGUCACCCUCACGGGGGAUGUGUCACCCUCCUGGGCGACCUGCCGGGGAGGUGCCACCACUCUGGGGGAUUUGUCACCAUCCCAAGGAGGUGGCACCAUCCUGGGGGACCUGUCAGCACUCUGGGCGACCUGUCACCAUCC